UGGGGAAUAUUGCACAAUGGGCGCAAGCCUGAUGCAGCCAUGCCGCGUGUAUGAAGAAGGCCUUCGGGUUGUAAAGUACUUUCAGCGGGGAGGAAGGGAGUAAAGUUAAUACCUUUGCUCAUUGACGUUACCCGCCGAAGAAGCACCGGCUAACUCCGUGCCAGCAGCCGCGGUAAUACGGAGGGUGCAAGCGUUAAUCGGAAUUACUGGGCGUAAAGCGCACGCAGGCGGUUUGUUAAGUCAGAUGUGAAAUCCCCGGGCUCAACCUGGGAACUGCAUCUGAUACUGGCAAGCUUGAGUCUCGUAGAGAGGGGUAGAAUUCCAGGUGUAGCGGUGAAAUGCGUAGAGAUCUGGAGGAAUACCGGUGGCGAAGGCGGCCCCCUGGACGAAGACUGACGCUCAGGUGCGAAAGCGUGGGGAGCAAACAGG
rnacentral:rRNA from 1 species